AGGCGGACGUUGACUGGUCAGUGUGCUGGUCCUUUGAAUGCUCCUGAGCGCCGGGCUCUCCCCACGCCUGCGCAGUGGGACGGGCGAGUUUGGCGCGGCUUGUGUGUGAGGCGCGGACAACCUCAGACAUCCUUAGCUUCCCAUCAUGGCUCAGUGUCCCAGGAAAAUACAAUUCCCGUGGAUGAUCUCUGUUGAUAUCAGCCACCUGCUAUGCCUGGCAAGACACCUGUUGUCGUACCAAAAAGCUACCUCCUGGGGACUUAAAGAGCUUUUAUGUUUAUAUUUUGAGACAGCAUCUGUAAUGGCUAUUCCUGGUUGUCAACUUGACUAUAUCUGGAAUAAAAUACAAUCCAGAAUUGAAAGACUCACCUGUGAUCCUGAUCUUGAGGCUGGGAGAUAGAAGUUUCUGACCUGGAUCUUGGCAUGAAGAUCUUGAGGCAUAGUGGCUAUGAAUCCCAGGAGACUAAGGCAAGGAGAUCUCGGAGUUCAAGGUCAUCUGGGACAAAGCAAAUCCUACCAGAUCCAGACGUGGUGGUACACAUCUUUAAUCUGGGCCACACUUUCUGCUGGAGACCUACAUAAGGACAUUGGAAGAUGGAAGAUUCACUCUUCUUUGCCUGCUUGCCUUGUGGAACUGAGCAACUACUAGAUCUUUGGACUUCCACUCACAGCUGACCAUUGUUGGGGAGUUGGACUACAGACUGGUUUCUCUACAUAGCCCUGGCUGACCUGGAAUUCACUCUGUGGAACAGGCUGGACUUGAACUCAGAGAUCUGCCUGCCUCUGCCUCUGAAUGCUAGAAUUAAAGGCAUGUACCAUCGCUACUUGACAUUAAAUUUUUAUUUAUUAUUGUGUGUAUGCUUGGUAUUUAUGCAUGAUGUGUGUGUGUGUGUGUGUGUGUGUGUGUGAAGAUAUGUGCAUUAAUAACAAUGAGGAAGUCAUAGGACACCUUUUUGUAGUUAAUUCUCUCCUUCCACUUUUACACAGUUCUAGGACUUGAACUCAGGUCCCUAAGCUUGGCAGCAAACACCUUUACCCACUAAGCCAUCCCACAGGUUCCCCCCCCCCCCUUUUUUUUAAACUUUUACAGAGUUUCACUAUGUAGCCCCAGCUGACCAGGAACUCAUUGUGUAGACUAGGCUGGCCUCAAAGGUCCACCUACCUGGGGCCUCCCAAGUUCUGAGAUUAAAGGUCUGUAUCACCACAUCUGGGUCAUGUGACUAUAGUUUGAUAUUCCCAUUCUGACAUUGAUCACUAAAGGUGGCUAUUGCCUCAAUUUCUCCUUUGUAAUGUUCUUUUGCUUUGUAGCAUCUACUGCUCUGUGGGGCAAAUGAGACUAUGUUACUAGAUGUAUUCCUUGUCAAAAUUUAACAUUUUUCAUGAAAAAAGGAGGAGGAAGGAGAGAAGAUUGGGUUAUUUGGCAACUUAUAGUCCCUCUUACUGCUGGCCGGUGCAGUAGCUGCAGGGGGCCAGCAGGUGUCAGCGCCGAGGCACAUCUGGGUCUGGAACAUUGGCUCUGGUGCUGCCCUAAGAUGUCAUGCGCUGCUGAAGAGGAGCCAAGUAUCUUUGUUUUAUGGCUCCAGGUGGCAGAACUCAUUCUGCCUCAAGAUCUGCUGUCCUUGUCACUACCGAGACAUCUCUCCUUUGUGUCGUGGGUUCCAUCUUCCCUGACCACACUGUCUCCAGUACCUCCACUGUGGAGACGCCCGAAGCAGAAAGGAGCUCCCACAAGCAGAAGACAACAGCCUACAUACUGAGGAGGAACAGUCCACACAAGAAAGGAGGACUCCACUUGGAAAGGAAGGAGACCCUCAUCUAUGAGGAAGACAAGAUCUAACUUAGCAGAGAGGGGACUGACUGAGACCUGGGUGCAGAUGGGGUGUCUGAUGGAGAGACAGACUGGGGCUUGGGAGAUGGAUGGAGACCUGGCACGUGUGCAGAUGGACUCUAGGCUACUCUUGUGGAAAACAGGCAGACGUGGAGGGCCAAGUGGUCAAGAACUGACGGUAGGGUGCCCAUACGGUGCCUCCUGUGCUUCCUCAGAUUGGUCGUUUCCUGGGUAUAAUUGGAACUAUUUCCAUUCCUCAGAGAAAGAGAGAAAUACAGAAGCUCCAGGGCCUCAGAGAAGGCUCAUUGUAUAACAACCUGAGUUUGAUUCUUGGAAUCCACAUGGGAGAGGACUGACCACCACAGGCAUGUUGUGUUAGGCAUGUGCUCACUAAACCUCAAAUACACGUUAGGGAGUGAGGAGCGUCCCCUGCCCCCAGGUUUCUGCUUCCGUUUCAUACCUUGGCUUUCCACCAUGAUGGACCGUAACCUGUAAGCUACAUAGACCCUUUUCUUCCCAAGUUGCUUUUGGCCAGCAUUUUAUCACAAUAAUACAAACUAACUGUGACAGUUUCUCAGCUGUUUACUGUGGUGGUUCCAUUGAGAAAUGUCCCUCAUAGUCUCAGACUUGGAGCACUUGGUUCCUAAUUGGUGACAGUUUGGGGAGGUUUGGGGUGUGGGGCCUUGCUGGAGGAAGUAUGCAGGGGUACGGUAGGCUUUCAGAGUAAAAAGUCUUGCCUCUUGUUUGCUUUCUCUGCUCUGGGCUUAGGUUAAGGAUGCCAGGUUUCUGUUUUCUUCUUCUGGUGCCUUGGCAGCCCCUUGCUGCCAUGCCUUCCAAUGUGGAGGAGUCGUUCCUAGAACCACAGGCCCAAAUAAACUCUCCUGUUAGUUUCCUUGGUCAUGGUGUUUUCUCACAGCAACAGAGAAGUAACUGAUGGAGCACAGGUCCGAGUCUGUGUAUGAAGAUUUCUGUGUUAGGAGACGUCUUAGUGUUUAUAAGAAAACAAGCCAAAAGUCUUGUGACCCCAGUUUCUUCAGAACAUGGAGUUGUUCUUGGAAUGUGUUCUCAUGCCCCUCCCAGAUGUAGAUAGGGGUGAAUUUACCUCAGACUGUUCAUUACAACUGGCUAUUGUCAUUUGUUUAUAUGCCUUUAUGAAAAAAACACGUUUGAUGUGGCUUGCCCACCAUGGGCAGCUUCGUUCUUGUGAUUGGACAUUUUACUUAUGUGACUCUUCUCAACACUCAGAGUAUAAGUUGUCUGAUACUCUAAAUAAAGCUGGCUACUGCAG
ensembl:processed_transcript